rnacentral:lncRNA from 1 species
UCCUCCCCAACUUGCUUCUUGGUCAUGAUGUUUGUGCAGGAAUAGAAACCCUGACUAAGACACCCUUCAUCGGAAAAUGUAGCCAAGCCCUUGAAAGUUCUGCACCUGUGCACUAUACACACUUCUGGCUUAGUGUUACCCUCUCUUCUGUUUCAGUUGUGCUCACCCCUUUUGUUUUGGAGCACAUGCAUUUUAAUAGCUGCCUCCAAUCUUUCUGAAAUGAUGCAGAGUAUUGAUAAAUAAAUAGAAUUCAAAGAUAUUAAAUUAUCGGCUUCACACACACUGAAACCCACCAGAAGAGAUUUCCUAAGAUAAAUAUUUAUAAAGGGACCCUUCUUUUAAUGAAACCUCACAAAUACAGUAUUCAGAUAUGUUAGCUGAUAUUGUCAUUUCUGUGGUUGAUGGUAUUUGAAAGUUGCCUUGUGAAACCUGGGACUCUUCCAUAAGAGCUGAGAAACACAAUGAACCUUGCUAUGUACCUGAGAAAACUUUCCAAACAAUGUUUAAAAAACCAAGAUAGCUAAGAAGAUGACCCCAACAAUGUUAGAAAAAUAAAGAGAGCAAAGACAUCCAAAGCUACCAACGGAGACAAAUGGCUUAUGAAAUGAGAUCAAUUCCUUGGCUCUGCACAGAAUCAACACCAAUAGCAUUAACUAAUAUAACCCAUGCUCACUCUCUUAGGCUACAGAAGAUGCACACAGCUGCCACCAGACCAUUGCUACUUUUAUACCUAAACACCAGCAGUAAAAGGAAACUUUCUACUCACAUGAAAAUCUGUCACUUUGUAUCCAUAUUUCUUCUAAACACACCUAAGGGAGAGAAGGUUACCCACGACUUCAGCUUAAUAGAUGCAAUUUAACCAGGCAGAUUUCUUGCUCCUAAACCAGUUUAAAACUUAGGUUUUAACAUCAUGAGAUCAAUUUGACAGUGAAUUUUCCAGGGUGAUUUGUCGCAGGCCAGACACUGGAUCAUGGUGGUUAAGUUUAAGAAAGAGGAUACACAGUUUUGUCAGACUUUACAUAAAAAUGAUACCAUGAAUAUACUGGGUUCUAUGUAAUUAAUAUGAAGUGAUCUAAAAACUGUAAUUAUUUGAUUGCAAUGGCAUAGACUAGCUAGGGGCAUGGUAUGCAAUUUAUUAUGCAUUGUCUUAAAAAAUAAUUUCAACUGAUAUUUUUCUGGUAUGCCUCUUGCAUUGGUCAUGGGGCUCCAAAACUGCACCUCCCUGUACUGUAAGCUCCAAGGGAGGAAGUUACAGGUCUCCUCAUGCCUGCCACUUAGCCACUGGUGUAUUUCAGCGAGUUAGCGCAACAGGAAGCGCACCUUUUCUCUGUAACUCUAGUGCAUGCCAAGAAGACAUCAGCUUCAGACUUUAAGAAAGGAGAAUGUUUGUUGAUUCUCAGGAGAAUUUUUGGCAGAUGAUAAAGAGGGGGUUUGGUCUUUGCCCUACUUCCAGAAAAUUCUCACAAAAAUCUUAGUGUGAGGAAAAUUGUCUUCAUACACAAGUACACCCGCUGUUGAAGCCAUGGGAUCCAUGGCUGCUGGGGGGAUAUAACUCACAGGCUUUUCCUGUCACAGAUUCAUCUGUCCUGUUUUGGGAAAAUUCUUUUAAGCAUUCCUCCGGUGGCCUACACUUAAAUGUCACCAGGUAGCAUUUCUCUGGGGCUCUGUGAAAGUACUUUGGGAAGGAACAGGAAAAAAUACUCUAAAAGCGAGCUCUUCCGAAGCAUGAGGUCCGUGUGGGAGUGUGAUCUCUCUGAGCUCAUUGACCUAAGUCCCUGGCCUUCUGCACCACCGUUUUCAACAGCAGCAGCCAGCCAAGUGGUUGCCUAGCUUGAAAAAUUAAAAAAAAAAAAACCCUCUGCAGAGUUUAUAAUUUUAGAAAUAUGAAGUAAGAUUUGUAAUGUGAUCUCAGUGGCAGAGUUACUUCUCCUCGAAAAGACUUUUUAUCAGAUUGUAAAACAAAUAGCCUACUUAUUCCAGGCAUAUCAGAGGCAUGGCGUCACAGCCCACCUCUGCCCUUUCACCAUCGUGGCAGGAGCUCAAGGUCUGGUAUAAGGGAAUGCAUGACAGACAGUUCAUGUCUGCCAAUGCUUUUCUGACCUCUGUAAGAGAUUGCUAUCUAAGCUUUUACCUUUUUUUUUUUCCUCAAGCUCUGAUGGUGGGUCUAACUAUACUACUGUGUCUGCAUGGGUGCUUUGUGGGGGAUGCGUUCUCCGAGUCCUUUCUGGAUCCUAAAAUUAUAGUCUGGAAACUGUAAGAACUUUGGUGAGUGAGGAACCGUGGGUCUGCUCCACGGUUAGUGGGAAGUUUAGUGAGAAGGUGAGGUGAGAUGUAAGGACACAGUGUUGCUGACAGAGAAAGUCCUGAAACAGCCUGACCUACUGACCUGGGGGAGGAGCUCACAGCGCUGCUCUGGAUGGGCUGACAGCUGCCUCACACUGCACUGCCGCCACCUUUGUGGCUCCUUCCCCCGGGGCUGUGUUCUCAGGUGGGAUGGAGGAAGCUUCCUCCAUCUCUGUAAGAAGCACAAAGAUCCAUCCUGCAAAGCAAACAUUUGCUGCCAUCGGCUGGGCAUCUCACUAACAGAAUUUCAUGUAGUCUUUUGAGUUUGAUUUUUGUUUGUUUGUUUGUUUAACAAGAGGGCUAGUUAAGGGCCCUGGGUAAAACCCUUCAACAGAAUUCCCCUGAAGAGCAAAAGUAGCAAAUGACAGGUUAUGCCUGGGGAUGGACCUUGGGGAAAGGCUGGGUUUGUGAAAUGAGAGUUGGAAGAAGUUUCCACCUUCUAGCACAUAGGCUGAUGUACUAAGAAACCACCCUCUCUAGGCUCCUGCGCGGUUAGUCUUACUCCGGAGAGCAAUCUAACUCGUCAUUUGCAAUCAGGGCCUCCGAGUUCUGUUUGUGUUUGCUUUUGCUUUUCGCUUUGCUACUCGUCCGGCUGUUUGCCUUCGCAUCUGACAUCUGUUGGUAAUAGAAGCCUUUGUCCUCGGCGGGCCCACCCCAGUCCUCCUGGCUCUCGCCCUCGGUGGCGUAGGAGAACCCCUCCUCCACAGAAAAGGGAUCAUCCACAUCGUAGCGCUGGUACGUGCUCUGAUGCAGGGCUUGCUCUCGGGCGCUGAUUUCCAAGGUGCUGUUCCAGAUGCCAUACCCAAAAUAAAUGAGCAUACCU